AACCUGGUUGAUCCUGCCAGUACUAUAUGCUUGUCUCAAAGCCUAAGCCAUGCAAAUGUAAGAUCAAUCAUAUGCGGUUUCGGCCGUGUAUAAUGAUAGUCUGUGGAAGGCUCAUUAUAACAGUUAUACUCCUAGCCACUGGAAAGUUUACAAGGAUACCACCGUUAACUGCAGCGAUAAUACUUGUUCCCUUCGGGGUGGUAAUAGUAUUUGUGCUGAAGCCUAGCUAUUGUAACCUAGUUUUUCGGGUGUGGCAACAUAUUCGGGGGAUUAGGAAUCGACCGCUAGCAGGUGCCUUCGGGCGCGGGAAAGUGAAUUAACAAGGUUUUCAUAAGGCCUUUCAGGUUUGCUUUUUCUAGUGGCCAGGCAGAGGAGUUUCUUACCUAUCAGCUCGUUGUUUGUUUAAAGGACAAACCAGGCUUUGACGGGUACGGGGAAUCAGUGUUCGAUUCCGGAGAGGGAGCCUGAGAAAUCGCUACCACAUCUAAGGACGGCAGCAGGCGCGCAAAUUACCCAAUCUCAAUACGAGGAGGUAGUGACAAGCUAUAGUGACUCCACACCAUUAGGUGGGGAGGUAUUGUCUUUUGACGAUUUUCCAUGAUUUGGGUGUAGAUAACCCUUAGAGUAGCCAUUGGAGGAAAAGUCUGGUGAACUGUCGCCAGAAAUAGUGACCCAGCAAUGGGGAGCUAGUCGCAUUGACCAAAGGUGAUACCUUUGGUAGCGGCAAAACGAUCAAAUUGCGGGAAGCGCUUCUUUUAAGCCUAACAGUACCGCUCGGCAACGAGCUAUGACAGGAGAAAAGCCUGUAGGAUGGUAACARGCUGUUAGGUAUGGCGUAAUCCGCAGCCAAGCUAUCGUUAAACAAAUCCCUAAUGCAUUUGUUUACGAGAGCAGGGUUCAGAGACUAGAUGGUCGUUGGCUAAGGUUUCUUAGCUUAAGAUAUAGUCCAAACCCCACUCGAUGAUAAAGAGUGUGUCAAUUGCAAGGCGGUAAUCACGCCCCAGAAUUGAUGUUCGGUAGUAUUGGCCAGCACCCGCGGUAAUUCCAGCUCCAAGAGCGUAUAUUAAUACUGCUGUAGUUAAAACGCCCGUAGUAUACCUAAGAGUGGGUGUGUAGUAAUUAGUUUUACCAGAGGACGGUUGGCGAGAGUUUAUCACCCUUGCUUGCCUACUUUUGGUAGACUUUAGUCGGGCUGGAUCUUUGGUCCUCGUCUGACAGUUGCUACGUACUUACUUACCACGGUUCAUCCGUGAGGCCCUUGGCUUGCAACUGUAAAUAAAUCGUUGUGCUUAAAGCGGGCUAUGAUACUCUGCCAGUGCGAUUUAGCAUGGGACUGCAGAGUAGCUGUAUUUGAGUGAAGGUUGCACCUCGGUGUGGCUGGAGCUUGGUACAGCGCUUGUAAUGGAGCUCAGGGUGAGGCCCCGGGUACCAUGAGGCUAGAGGUGAAAUUCUGAGACCCUCAUGUGACCAACUAAGGCGAAAGCUGUCGUGGGCCACCACAAGCUCGUCUAUCAGGGACGAAAGUUGGGGGAUCGAAGACGAUUAGAUACCGUCGUAGUCCCAACUAUAAACGAUACCAACCGAGUAUUUGGGAAGACACUAUCCCAGCGAUCUUCUCAGAACUCAAGGGAAACCUUAAGUCUUUGGGUUCCGGGGGGAGUAUAGUCGCAAGACCGAAACUUAAAGGAAUUGACGGAAAGGCACCACCAGGAGUGGAGUCUGCGGCUUAAUUCGACUCAACACGGGGAAACUCACCAGGUCAGGACACAAGUUUGAUUGACAGGUUAAUAGCCCUUUCUUGAUUGUGUGGUGGGUAGUGCAUGGCCGUUUCCAGUUCGUGGAGUGGUCUGUCUUGUUAAUUCAGAUAACGAACGAGACCUAAGCCUUUAACUAGCCGUAGGCCUUUUCCUUCGGGGAAGGGUUAGUUUGUCGGAACAGGUUUCGGCCUGUUCCAAAACCUACGAGACUUUUGUCAGCUUCUUAAAGGGACUUCAUUCGUAAACUAGGAUGAGGAAGAUUUAGGCCAUAACAGGUCUGUGAUGCUCUUAGAUGUCCUGGGCUGCACGCGUACUACAAUAACGGUACCAGCGAGCGCUAUGGUUUUAUAACCCCUUAUCCUAAUAGGAUUGGGAAAACUUUUCAAACACCGUUAUGACAGGGAUCGAGGAUUGGAACAUCCUCGUGAACGAGGAAUUCCUAGUAAGCGUGGUUCAUCAUACCACAUUGAUUACGUCCCUGCCUUUUGUACACACCGCCCGUCGCUCCUACCGAUGGGACGAAGAGAUGAACCUGGCGGACCGAACCGCAAGGUAAGGGAAACCAGUUAAAUCUCUUCGUCUGUAGGAAGGAAAAGUCGUAACAAGGUCUUCGUAGGUGAACCUGCAGAAGGAUCA
rnacentral:rRNA from 1 species